rnacentral:piRNA from 1 species
UAUUUACAUUUAAUGUGAUGAUGUUAGUC